ensembl:snoRNA F56A11.14 ncRNA
GAAUUGCCGAGGUUGUUAACAACAAAAAAAUUCGGCAAGUUUUCGACGAAAUGGCAAAAUGCAUUGCCAUUAGAGCUAACUUUCUAGAUUUCG